rnacentral:misc_RNA from 1 species
GAUGAGAACGUAGCGAAAUGCGAUAAGUAAUGUGAAUUGCAGAAUUCAGUGAAUCAUCGAAUCUUUGAACGCACAUUGCGCCCGCCAGUAUUCUGGCGGGCAUGCCUGUCCGAGCGUCAUUUCAACCCUCGAACCCCUCCGGGGGGUCGGCGUUGGGGAUCGGCCCUGCCUCUUGGCGGUGGCCGUCUCCGAAAUACAGUGGCGGUCUCGCCGCAGCCUCUCCUGCGCAGUAGUUUGCACACUCGCAUCGGGAGCGCGGCGCGUCCACAGCCGUUAAACACCCAACUUCUGAAAUGUUGACCUCGGAUCAGGUAGGAAUACCCGCUGAACUUAAGCAUAUCAAUAAGCGGAGGA